UAAAAUUAAGGGACAUAAUUACAAUUUUUUGGGGGUUUGAUUACAAAUUGCGAAAACUUCAAUGACAAAAUCCGAAAAAUCCAAACGGCGCCGUUUUCUUUGAAGCACUAUUCAUUGUCUUCAACAGCUGUGAAUCUGUGACAAUAAAGGCAGGACAUAUUAGCAAUGGAGCCAUCAAGGGGCGUGUUUCACGGCUAUCAUCCCUCUGCAACUCGUUAUCAAGCCAGCCGUUACCAGCACAAAGCCUUCUCUGACCUAUAAAAACAACAGAAGAAGACUGAACCCAUGGGGGAGAAGAGAACGGACAGAAAAGAAAGGAGAGGAGAAGGUGAUAAAAACAGAGAGAAUGACAGAAGGAAGAAAAUAAAAGGAGAACAAAAGUAGAGGGAGAGGGGAGUAUAAGGAAGAGAAAACAGAAGGAGGAAGAGCAUAAAAAAAAAAAAAAACGGAGAAGGAUAGUCUGCACGGCGAAGCAGAGGACACAACACCACCGCUGUUUUCACCUCUCCAUAAUCAGGUAUGUGCAUUUCCUUUCUCAAUACCUGCAACAGAAAUGAUGUGUGUUAGUAUGUAAGAAAAACAAAAAGGAAACGUGAGGGAGCCAAUACAUGAAAUCACCAGUUGCAACACUCUGUUUUUUUCUUUCGUUUCAUUCUCGC
rnacentral:lncRNA from 1 species